rnacentral:rRNA from 1 species
UACAGAGGUCUCAAGCGUUGUUCGGAUUUAUUGGGCGUAAAGGGCGCGUAGGCGGCGGGGUAAGUCGGGUGUGAAAUCUCAGGGCUCAACCCUGAAACUGCACUUGAUACUGCUCUGCUUGAGGACUGGAGAGGAGACUGGAAUUCCCGGUGUAGCGGUGAAAUGUGUAGAGAUCGGGAGGAACACCGGUGGCGAAGGCGGGUCUCUGGGCCGAAUUC